rnacentral:rRNA from 1 species
AUUGAACGCUGGCGGCAUGCCUUACACAUGCAAGUCGAACGGUAACGGGCCUUCGGGUGCCGACGAGUGGCGAACGGGUGAGUAAUGCAUCGGAACGUACCUUUCAGUGGGGGAUAACGUAGCGAAAGUUACGCUAAUACCGCAUAUUCUGUGAGCAGGAAAGCAGGGGAUCGCAAGACCUUGCGCUGAUUGAGCGGCCGAUGUCAGAUUAGCUAGUUGGUGAGGUAAAGGCUCACCAAGGCGACGAUCUGUAGCGGGUCUGAGAGGAUGAUCCGCCACACUGGAACUGAGACACGGUCCAGACUCCUACGGGAGGCAGCAGUGGGGAAUUUUGGACAAUGGGGGGCAGCCCUGAUCCAGCCAUGCCGCGUGAGUGAAGAAGGCCUUCGGGUUGUAAAGGCACUUUUGGUCGGGACGAAACGGCGACUUUCUAAUACAGAGUGCUAAUGACGGUACCGCAGAAUAAGACACCGGCUAACUACGUGCCAGCAGCCGCGGUAA